rnacentral:rRNA from 1 species
UACGAGGGGGGCGAGCGUUGUUCGGAAUUAUUGGGCGUAAAGAGCUCGUAGGCGGUUUGUCGCGUCUGCUGUGAAAACCCGAGGCUCAACCUCGGGCCUGCAGCGGGUACGGGCAGACUAGAGUGCGGUAGGGGAGAUUGGAAUUCCUGGUGUAGCGGUGGAAUGCGCAGAUAUCAGGAGGAACACCAAUGGCGAAGGCAGAUCUCUGGGCCGUAACUGACGCUGAGGAGCGAAAGCAUGGGGAGCGAACAGG